AGGAAAGGGAAGGGAUUCG
rnacentral:tRNA from 1 species